CCCAGCUUGUGCUCCAUUCUGCUUGUUGGGCCUUUGUGAUCCCAGCUCUCUUUGUUCUUUUGGAAUUUUCAUUUCAGGCUCUAACUUGAUGUCAUCCCGAGAGCCGGGAGACCUGAGAGAAAAUUCCAGCUGCGGUUCUGUGCCUCUCAUAAAGCUGUGCUCAUUUUCCCUAGGAAAUGGUGAUCAGAUUCCUCAUCUGUAAACUGGGAUGUUGAUCCCGUGUUGUGUUAUUAAAUAUAUGGAAUGAGAUCUUUGGCAAUAAAGCAGAAAUGUAGGUCGCCUUAGUUAUCUUUUUUUCCAAGUAGCCGUAGAUGCGUUGCAUUCCAGGUAGAACCCAAGGUUAGAAAUUUCAGGGGUCUGAUUGGCCAGCUUUCUCUGUCACUUGGCCUAACCCAGCCAAGACUGGAGGUUCUGUGGAAUGUGAAAACUGCUGCUCCUCCUCAGAAGCCGAGGGGGCCUCACAAUGCAGGAAAAUCCUCCCCAUGCACCGAGAGGCUUCCUGCUUCACACUUGAGCCAGCUCUUACCAGGUGCCUGGAGCCAGUCGUGAUCAGAACUGAACUGUGUACCUGCUAUCACCCGGAUAUUCUGCCUCUCCACUGGCAGAACCAUUUUAGGGAAGAACCGGGAGACGUGUAUGUCUCACCCCUCACCUCCAUUUCCGGUACCAAACCCACUUUUCUGUUCUACAUAUUACCUGAAUUCACUUUCUCUUUUUUCCUCAUCGCUGCUCCAUUACUAACCCUAAUAAGUUUUCCUGUUCUUGUUUUCUUUUUCUGUCAAUUUAGAGUUCUAGAUCACCUAUCUGUCAAAAUCGCUUCCUAUUAAAUAUCUCUUACUGAAGGUCCUUCAUCCACACAACAAGAUCCUAUUUCCUUAACACACACACACACACACACACACACGCACACACACGGUUUUGUAGACCCCUGUGCUCCUCUCCUCAUUCACACAUGACGCUGUUGCCCCCAGCCCUCUCCUGGCUAAAUCCCCUCUCUAAAGGUCAUCCCGUCUUCAUCUCAAUCCCAUGGCUUCCCCUCACAACGAAGGCAGACAGGUCCCCUUCCUUAUAGUCCCGUAAUAUAUUGUAUUUACUCUUUGUGUGUUUUCUCCAGAAAUAGAGCAUGGGUAUCUUAAGGACGGAGACCGCCCUAAGCAUUAUGAUCCCAGUAAUGCCCACCACUUGGAUGUUUAAUAAGUGUGUGCUUAAUGAAGACAUGAAUAAAGUAUAAAUGUGCACUUACUCAUUCUGAUCAUUCCUUUAGACAGUGGCACUGCACGCAGAGGCAGUUAGCAUUUAUCAAACAUUCCGGGAACCCCCUCAUUUUCCAGCAUCCCUUGCACUUAGGUGUCACCCCCAGCACAGCAUCUCUGUGAGUAGCAGUGAGUUCUCCACAUCCGCUCUUCCCCUGCCCUGGCUCGGCUGGGCGUCUAGAUAAGAUGGUCCCACAAGGCUGUACGGAAGAAACCAUGGUAGAGGUGCCGUGGGAGUGGGAGGUAAGCCUGUCAUGUUAACCGCUGGAAAUCUCAGGAUUUAUGUUUCCACCGCAUAACCUGAUUUUCCCUGCACAGUGCUUAUUAUUUCAAGCUUAUACAUCAGUCUCCGUCCUGACAUGUACACGUAAGGUUUGGUUACCCUUUACCCAGCAUGCAACUCUUUCUCUUCCCCCGAAAUCUGCAGCACACCCAGGCCUGGGGAAAACUGCACCACAUAACGGGUAGUGUGCAACCAGCCUGCCUAUGGCUAGCCGGCCCCUGCCACGGAGCCUGCGUAUAGCACACUGCGCUUCCUAAACGUAACUUGCACCUCCCCUCUUUGCCCAGCC
ensembl:lincRNA